rnacentral:lncRNA from 1 species
UGUUACUUUUCUUUUGAAACAAUAACUACUAAUACCUUUUAUUACAACAGCUUAUAUUUAAAACUGUUCAAAGACUGGAAAAUAAGUUUGAUGACUUGGAUGAAAAAGUAACAAAAAUUUAUCGUGCUCGCUCUAGAUCCUUCUGGAAUUAUCCUCCUCUGAGAUCUGCAGUCAGAAAAUACAAUUACCUGAGGUCUAAAAGAGUUAAAGUGCAGAAAGUGGAACAAAUAGUUCAUGAUGAUUCCUUCACCUAUCCUCAAAGUUAUAGUCCAACUUCACCAGUCUGCAGGAGGCAAGAUAAUAACCAGGAUAUGGAAAACAUCGAGCCCAUGGAUUAUACCCUGCCUUUCCAAUACACUGAUGCUAUCAACAACAGCCAAUCUUUCCAGUAUACCGAUGAUAUCAACAACAGCCAGACUUUCCAGUACACUGAUACAGUCAACCUCAGCCCAACUGUUCAGUACACCGAUUCAGUCGACCUCAGCCAGACUAUCCAGUACACUGAUACAGUUGAUCUCAGCCAGACUAUCCAGUACACCGAUAAUGCUGACCUCAGCCAAACUGUCCAAUACACCGAUACAGUCGACCUCAGCCAGACUAUCCAGUACACCGAUUCAGUGGACCUCAACCAGACUAUCCGGUACACUGAUUCAGUGGACCUCAACCAGACUAUCCGGUACACUGAUUCAGUGGACCUCAACCAGACUAUCCGGUACACUGAUUCAGUCGACCUCAGCCAGACUAUCCAGUACACUGAUAAUGUUGACCUCAGCCAAACUGUCCAGUACACUGAUACGGACGACCUCAGCCAAACUGUCCAGUACGCUGAUACUGUCAAUAAUGCCCAGUCUUUCCAGUAUACCAGUACUGUCAACAACACCGAGAAUAUCCAAAAUCCUGAGGACGAUGAUGUUUUUGAUUCAGAGGAUUCCCAGGAAGUAGUGUUUGCUGCAUCUACACCAGAGAGAGACUAUCAAGAAACUCCACCAAGUCCUGUAUAUACAACCCAAACAUAUGCGGAGUAUUACAGGUUUAAAGAUGUACCUGGCUCUUCUACAAUGCCCUACUUUAGUGACUUUGAAAUUCCCAAUAUGGACACCAUCAUUUCUGCCACUUCAAGAGCAAAGGAAGAAAGUACACUCCCUCCAGGCGAGCUUAUCCCCAUACAGAAUCCUGAAAUGAGGCAAAUGGCCUUACUGGAGGCUCAGCGUACACCUGUGAUUGACCCUAACACUUUUGGUUCAUCACCUGAGUGUAACAGGGUUGUUGUAAGACACCUUGGUAACCCUGUAAACUGGUCUGUGAGUGAUGUGAUAACAUUUCUGAACCGUUUAGAUCCUCCAUUGGCAGACCAACUCUACCCUACCAUCAGAAAACAUGAUAUCGAUGGGAAAGCCCUGCUGCUGAUCGAUAGUGAUACAAUGAUAAAAUAUAUGGGGGUGAAGGUGGGAGUAGCCAUAAAGUUUGGAGACUAUAUUAAAAAGCUUAAAGAAGGAGUAAACUUUGGCCAGUAAAAAAAAUGUUUAUAAAACUUUAAAUGGUCUUACAAAUUCUUCCUUAAUGCACAGAUGAUUCCCUAUGCUUAUUAGAUUUUUAAAGAAGAUUCUUAUGAUACCUUAUAACUAGAAUUGAAAAAAUACAUUAUAUUGAAAGCCUGGUUCAAGAUACAUCUAACAUAUUAAUAUUAGCAUAUACAGACUGGCAGGUUAUUCCAUCUUUAUAAUAUUUUCAUUUUAUAAUUUAUAAACAUGCUUCAUGGAAGAAACAAA